rnacentral:rRNA from 1 species
UACAGAGGGUGCGAGCGUUAAUCGGAAUUACUGGGCGUAAAGCGCGCGUAGGCGGCUUUGCAAGCCGAGUGUGAAAUCCCCAGGCCUAACCUGGGAACUGCAUUCGGGACUGCAUGGCUUGAGUAUGGGAGAGGGAAGUGGAAUUUCAGGUGUAGCGGUGAAAUGCGUAGAUAUCUGAAGGAACAUCAGUGGCGAAAGCGACUUCCUGGACCAAUACUGACGUUCAUGUGCGAAAGCGUGGGGAGCAAACAGG